AUUAUGGCUCAGGAUGAACGCUAGCUACAGGCUUAACACAUGCAAGUCGAGGGGCAGCAUGAGAUUAGCUUGCUAAUCUUGAUGGCGACCGGCGCACGGGUGCGUAACACGUAUCCAAUCUACCCAUGGCUCGGGGAUAGCCUUUCGAAAGAAAGAUUAAUACCCGAUGGUCUGCGAUUGAGACAUCUCGAUUGCAGUAAAGACUUGUCGGCGAUGGAUGGGGAUGCGUCCGAUUAGCUAGUUGGCGGGUAACGGCCACCAAGGCGACGAUCGGUAGGGUUCUGAGAGGAAGGUCCCCCACACUGGAACUGAGACACGGUCCAGACUCCUACGGGAGGCAGCAGUGAGGAAUAUUGGUCAAUGGUCGGGAGACUGAACCAGCCAAGUAGCGUGAGGGACGACGGCCCUACGGGUUGUAAACCUCUUUUGUAUGGGAAUAAAGUGAGGCACGUGUGCCUUUUUGUAUGUACCUUACGAAUAAGCAUCGGCUAAUUCCGUGCCAGCAGCAGC
rnacentral:rRNA from 1 species